rnacentral:lncRNA from 1 species
AUGGGUACUAAACUCUUCACCAGAACUGCAUCUCCUCCUCCUAUGAAUACAUUUCUUUGCCAUCUUUCCCUAUGUUCAUGUUUCCCUCUUUCAUCUAUGAUGUGUGAAUUUUCAUUUAUUAUGGUAAUAAGACCGCAAUCUCUUCCAUCUUUUUCUUUUUCUUUAAGAUGUCAAAAUGGAGAAAAUGAAUAUGCUGUUCAUGGUUGUUUUGGGUUUGAGGGUCCUGCUGGCAAAAUGCAUCGCCUUCAACACACUCAUGAGUAUCUGUCCAUUCAUAUUCUGAGGUAUUAGGUAAGUGAGCCAGCAGUGGGCUGAAGAAGAAGAGAAUAUAUAGCAGUAUAAUUUAAAUUCUAUGGCUCAACUUUGCUGACAAUAAGCAUUUAAAAAAAAAGAAAACAAAGAAGCCACCCCCCAUUCCCUGUUCCUGUAGAUAUGUCCCAUCACUUCAUGAUGGUGCUCUUUAGUUAACAUCAUCUGAAAGCUAUCUUAAACUGUUAAUACUGUUUAACUCUUGCCUUUUUCAGUUUUAUUAAUUGUUAAAAUAACAAUUUGUUAUUUCUUAUUUCCUUACAAAAUUUCCUUCAUCCUUAUGCUAAGCAGGAAUACUUACAUCUCUAACUUUAGCCAAACAUCCUAGUUUUGAAAGUGUUAAAACUGAGCUUAUUUACUUACUAUGCUUUAAAAAUAACAUCUCUCUUGUCAUAUUGCAUUACUGUCUACAGAAGCAAUGUCAUACUGCUUAGGGAUCCCUAAACAUAAAGGAAAUAUUGUAUGGUCUUUUUUAUUGUAUUGUCUUUUUAAAAAACUUAACAAGUGGUAAUUUUCUAGUGUAUGUAAACUCUGUUGAUCUCUGCUAGAUCUGAAGGAACUGACUGUAGUCAGAUUUAUAGUAGGACUUCCAUUUGUUUCUAUUCUUCAGAACAUUUUACUCUUUGUUAAGUAUGUGGACCCUGAAUUUUAGGUUUCCUUAAUUAAGGUCAAAAUAAAGUUUUAUUACGUUGAAGUGUUGUAUGGUUU